rnacentral:rRNA from 1 species
GAUACCUACGGGACGCAGCAGUGGGGAAUAUUGCACAAUGGGGGAAACCCUGAUGCAGCAACGCCGCGUGAAGGAAGACGGUUUUCGGAUUGUAAACUUCUGUUCUUAGUGAAGAAAAAUGACGGUAGCUAAGGAGCAAGCCACGGCUAACUACGUGCCCGCAGCCGCGGUAAUACGUAGGGGGCGAGCGUUGUCCGGAAUCACUGGGCGUAAAGGGCGCGUAGGCGGUUUAAUAAGUCAGUGGUGAAAACUGAGGGCUCAACCCUCAGCCUGCCACUGAUACUGUUAGACUUGAGUAUGGAAGG